GACUCACGCGGGAAUCUUACCGGGUCCGGACACACUGAGGAUUGACAGGUUCCGAGAGUUUUUGCUUCGGCAAUGCUCUCUUAAAUAUGAUAGUCCUUUCAUGAUUAUGUGAUAGGUGGUGCAUGGCCGUUCUUAGUUCGUGGAGUGAUCUGUCUGCUUAAUUGCGUUUCACUAAAGGCGUCAUAUCUGUUUUGUUGCGUGUUUGACCCCUCUUCGGAGCGCGUGUCUUCACGCACAAUUACUUUGGCGUCUGAAAGCAACGAACGUGACCGUAACCUCUUGUUGCCUUCUCUUCUCCUCGGAGAAUGCUGUUUGUUUUUGCAGGCAGUAUAUGGAGGCUUUUUUACUCAACAACUAGAGGGACCGCUGUUUCUUUCUUUAAACCAGAGGAAGGAUACGGCAAUAACA
rnacentral:rRNA from 1 species